rnacentral:rRNA from 1 species
GUAGGGGGCGAGCGUUGUCCGGAUUUAUUGGGCGUAAAGAGCUCGUAGGCGGUUCGAUAAGUCGGAUGUGAAAUCUCCACGCUCAACGUGGAGAGGCCAUUCGAUACUGUCGUGACUCGAGUCCGGUAGGGGGGUGUGGAAUUCCCGGUGUAGCGGUGAAAUGCGCAGAGAUCGGGAGGAACACCCGUAGCGAAGGCGGCACUCUGGGCCGGUACUGACGCUGAGGAGCGAAAGCGUGGGGAGCAAACAGGAUUAGAUACCCUGGUAGUCCACGCCGUAAACGUUGGGCACUAGGUGUGGGACUCUAUCGACGGGUUCCGUGCCGUAGCUAACGCAUUAAGUGCCCCGCCUGGGGAGUACGGCCGCAAGGCUA